rnacentral:tRNA from 2 species
CGGGCCGUCGUAUAGUGGUAGUACACAUGGCUGGGGGUCAUGUAGCCCGGGUUCGAUUCCCGGCGGCCCGA